rnacentral:rRNA from 1 species
GGGCGUUAAGUUGCAGGGUAUAGACCCGAAACCCGGUGAUCUAGCCAUGGGCAGGUUGAAGGUUGGGUAACACUAACUGGAGGACCGAACCGACUAAUGUUGAAAAAUUAGCGGAUGACCUGUGGCUGGGGGUGAAAGGCCAAUCAAACCGGGAGAUAGCUGGUUCUCCCCGAAAGCUAUUUAGGUAGCGCCUCGUGAACUCAUCUCCGGGGGUAGAGCACUGUUUCGGCUAGGGGGCCAUCCCGGCUUACCAACCCGAUGCAAACUGCGAAUACCGGAGAAUGUUAUCACGGGAGACACACGGCGGGUGCUAACGUCCGUCGUGAAGAGGGAAACAACCCAGACCGCCAGCUAAGGUCCCAAAGUCAUGGUUAAGUGGGAAACGAUGUGGGAAGGCCCAGACAGCCAGGAUGUUGGCUUAGAAGCAGCCAUCAUUUAAAGAAAGCGUAAUAGCUCACUGGUCGAGUCGGCCUGCGCGGAAGAUGUAACGGGGCUAAACCAUGCACCGAAGCUGCGGCAGCGACGCUUAUGCGUUGUUGGGUAGGGGAGCGUUCUGUAAGCCUGUGAAGGUGUGCUGUGAGGCAUGCUGGAGGUAUCAGAAGUGCGAAUGCUGACAUAAGUAACGAUAAAGCGGGUGAAAAGCCCGCUCGCCGGAAGACCAAGGGUUCCUGUCCAACGUUAAUCGGGGCAGGGUGAGUCGACCCCUAAGGCGAGGCCGAAAGGCGUAGUCGAUGGGAAACAGGUUAAUAUUCCUGUACUUGGUGUUACUGCGAAGGGGGGACGGAGAAGGCUAUGUCGGCCGGGCGACGGUUGUCCCGGUUUAAGCGUGUAGGCUGACUUUCCAGGCAAAUCCGGAAGGUUAAGGCUGAGGCGUGAUGACGAGGCAC